CAAUAUUAGUUGUUGAAAUGAAAGAUUUUGUGACUCCUACUGAUUCUGUCUAGAAAUAAUUAUCAUAUACUAUAAAUUUAUUAUACAGUUAUACAUUAUGUGUUUAAUUUAUAAAGUGGCAUAAUUAUUAUUUAUUUAUAUUACAAUUUUAUUUUGAUAGCCAUUUAUUUUUAUUCGUAAUAAUUUUUUGUUGCUAGGCUUUGGAGGAUCUUCGUUAGAGGGCGCACCCUCUUGUUGUUAGUUAAGAAAAAUCCCGGUUCUCAUGGUGGGUGUAAAUAUUGCGUUAUGAAAUAAUAUUGCAUGAUAUGUUCAUAUUUCCAAGUUUUAUUACUCGAUCAUAACUAUUAAAGAAGAUAUUGACAAUAUUCAGUAACUACUGAAGCUUUUAUAGCACGUAACAAUGUCAGCAGUGCUUCGUUUAGGUGACUACAUCGGGCUGUUAGCCUAGCAGCCUUUUUUUGUAAAUCGCUGCAUGUUGCAUCUGUGGUUAGUCUAUAGAGUCUAUAAAUGGCUAAAAUCUUAAACUUACUGCUAUUGUUAUUCACUAUUAUUUAUUUUUAGUUGCAAUCUUUGUUGGCUUCUUGUUUUGGGCACUUGUUCAUCCGUCAAGAUGCUUAACCACUUAAAUUGAGGCCUAUAAUGAGACCUUUUGAAUAUUACAGUUUUUUUGUCGCACAUACAGUAUCAAACAUGCUUUAUACAGCUUGUGGUGUAGUGUUUAAAGUUCUUGUCUGGAAACCUACAACGCCAAUCCAUAAGCUAUCGUCAUUGCAUACGGUAAACUGAAUAAUUAAUUUUUUUGUUCACUUGAAAAGUGGGUUUUCAGUGCCUUCAGGGCAGAGUCAUAAUAAAACAUACAGUUUAAACAUAUAUGACUUCUUUUGAGGAGUUCAAAUCUUCAUUACGAUGGUCAAACUUCCUUAUAAGUCACACUAUGGUUCUGCUAACUACUGUUUUAUUUGCAUUUGUUUUCAGGGUACAAUAUUCUGCCUCCACCAUCAACAAACAAUGGGUCAAAUGAAGACCCCUGUCCAGUGUGUGGAAAACCCUAAAGGAUCGGGUGGAGUGAUAAUAUACGACCGGGAGACGUUAGCCAUGAACAAACAACACUUGGUGGCAGUUCUUCUCUCUAGAGGUGAAAAACUCUGUCAGAGCAGUUCUGUUGUAACGACAAGUGAAGAUAAGAAAGAGAAAUGCCCCCCAAGACCUUAACAUCUCAACCUUUAUACUUCAAAUAAAGGCAUUUUACAAUCA